UAGCUAUGGUCUUGAGCAUGGCUCUAUAGGUGAGCCUAUAGCACCAUGUUACUUCAUAUUCAGUAAUUCUUUCGUUGAUAGUGGAAAUAACAAUCAGCUUCAAUCCUUAGCAAGAGCACAGAUUCUGCAACGGGAAAACCACCGUCGAUGUCAUCGCCGAGCUUCUUGGCUACGAUGACUUACAUUACACCAUGUAUUGCACAAGCAAGAGGAGAAGACAUCAUGAGAGGAGUAAACUACGCUUCUGCAGCUGCUGGUGUUCGAGAAGAAACCGGCCGUCAGUUGGGAGCUAUAAUAAUAUUUGCAGGGCAAGUGGAAAAUCACGUGAACAUUUGUGUCACAAGUGGUGAACAUACUUAGGAGAGAAUCUGCAUCUGAUGCUCAUCCUUAUGAUUUCAAGCAGCUUCCUAUGCUCUAAUUUAUGAAAUUUACUCCACACAAACGAAGAGACAAAGACAGAGAUUUAAUCUUUGCACUUUUGCUUAUAUAAGUGUUUGAUAGUUCUUGUUUUUUUUUAUGCAGAAGAAUUGUUGUUAUUUUUUUUUGGUGAAGUGAAUGUAACAUUGUUCUAUAUAAUGAUAUGAAAUUGUUCUUAGUUUAGUUU